UCGCGUGGCAAAGCAAUGCUGACAGGGAACGGGCCACAUGGGCGAUCCGCGUGCGCGCGAUCGGACGGGCCCAGAUCCGUUCCCGCAUGCACGGACGGCCCAGAUUCACGCGCACGGACGACCCAAAUUGCAUCGCGAUGAACGGCCCAGAUUUAAUCCCAAUUAAAUCGCGAUCGAACGGUCCAGAUUUAAUCUUCAUG
rnacentral:lncRNA from 1 species